rnacentral:sRNA from 1 species
GUCAGGUGCAGUGGCAUGCAUUUGUAAUCCCAGUGACUCAGGAGGCUGGGACAGGAGGAUCACAAGUUUGAGGUCAGCCUCAGCAUCUUAGUGAGACCCUGUCUCAA